rnacentral:rRNA from 1 species
UACGGGGGGAGCAAGCGUUGUUCGGAUUUACUGGGCGUAAAGGGCGCGUAGGCGGCCACUGCAAGUCAGUUGUGAAAUCUCCGGGCUUAACCCGGAAAGGUCAACUGAUACUGCAGGGCUAGAGUGCAGAAGGGGCAACUGGAAUUCUCGGUGUAGCGGUGAAAUGCGUAGAUAUCGAGAGGAACACCUGCGGCGAAGGCGGGUUGCUGGGCUGACACUGACGCUGAAGCGCGAAAGCUAGGGGAGCGAACGGG